GACAGAGGGUGCAAACGUUGUUCGGAAUUACUGGGCGUAAAGCGUGUGUAGGCGGCUACGCAAGUCGGAUGUGAAAGCCCCGGGCUCAACCCGGGAAGUGCACCCGAAACUGCGUGGCUCGAGUACCGGAGAGGUUGGUGGAAUUCUCGGUGUAGAGGUGAAAUUCGUAGAUAUCGAGAGGAACACCGGUGGCGAAGGCGGCCAACUGGACGAGUACUGACGCUGAGACACGAAGGCGUGGGGAGCAAACAGG
rnacentral:rRNA from 1 species